rnacentral:rRNA from 1 species
AAGGAUUCCCCUAGUAACGGCGAGUGAAGAGGGAAGAGCCCAAGAUUGAAAGCUGGCGUCUUCGGCGUCCGCAUUGUAAUCUCAAGAAGUGUUUUCCGCUUCGGACCAUGCCUAAUUCCCUUGGAAAAGGGCAUCAUAGAGGGUGAUAAUCCCGUACAUGGCAUGGAGCGCCCGAAGCUUUGUGAUACGCUUUCUAAGAGUCGAGUUGGUUUGGGAAUGCAGCUCAAAAUGGGUGGUAAAUGCCAUCUAAGGCUAAAUAUUGGGGAGAGACCGAUAGCGAACAAGUACAGUGAUGGAAAGAUGAAAAGAACUUUGAAAAGAGAGUUAAACAGUACGUGAAAUUGCCAAAAGGGAAGGGUAGGAGGUCAGAGAUGCGGCUUGGGAUUCAGCCUUGCUUUUGCAUGGUGUUUUUCCCCUGUUGCAGGCCAACGUCGGUUUUGGGCACUGGAAGAAGGGUGAGAGGAACGUGGCAUCCCCUCGGGAUGUGUUAUAGCCUCUUACUGGAUACAGCGACCGAGACCGAGGACAGCAGCGUAUUCGCAAGAGCGGGCCUUCGGGCACCUUUACGCUAGGGCGUUGGGUAAUGAC